rnacentral:lncRNA from 1 species
UUAGUUCUUUUUGUCUUUUGAAAUUUUAAGUCAGGUAUGGUUAAGUUCAUUUACAAGUUUGAUCAAGAAAAAGAGUUUAAAAAUGCAAUGGCAUAAUGCCAAAGUUUCUAAUUUGCAACCAAGUCAAGUUUAGAAAUCACAAGUAAAGAAGAUUUUGAAAAAAAGGGGGGAGAAAUUUGAAAUUUAAGAAGUGGGAGGAGAUAAAAAGACUAAUCCUAAGCAAAAAUUAAAAGUUAAGAGUUGAAAAGAUCUGACCAAUGGGAUGCAAUCCAAUAGACAAGAAUGU